rnacentral:rRNA from 1 species
GACAGAGGAUGCAAGCGUUAUCCGGAAUGCUUGGGCGUAAAGCGUCUGUAGGUGGCUUUUUAAGUCUGCCGUCAAAUCCCAGGGCUUAACCCUGGACAGGCGGUGGAAACUACCAAGCUGGAGUACGGUAGGGGCAGGGGGAAUUUCCGGUGGAGCGGUGAAAUGCGUAGAGAUCGGAAAGAACACCAACGGCGAAAGCACUCUGCUGGGCCGACACUGACACUGAGAGACGAAAGCUAGGGGAGCGAAUGGG